AGAGACAGCAGUAGCCGCGGUAAUACAGAGGGUGCGAGCGUUAAUCGGAUUUACUGGGCGUAAAGCGUGCGUAGGCGGCUUUUUAAGUCGGAUGUGAAAUCCCUUAGCUUAACUUAGGAAUUGCAUUCGAUACUGGGAAGCUAGAGUAUGGGAGAGGAUGGUAGAAUUCCAGGUGUAGCGGUGAAAUGCGUAGAGAUCUGGAGGAAUACCGAUGGCGAAGGCAGCCAUCUGGCCUAAUACUGACGCUGAGGUACGAAAGCAUGGGGAGCAAACAGGAUUAGAUACCCCGGUAGUCCCUGUCUCUUAUAC
rnacentral:rRNA from 1 species